AAAAAGGUAAGCUAAUUAAAGCUAAUGGGCUCAUACCCCACUUAUAAAGGUAUUAAUCUUCCCCUUUUUA
rnacentral:tRNA from 1 species